GCAGUAGCCGCGGGAAUACAGAGGGUGCGAGCGUUAAUCGGAUUUACUGGGCGUAAAGCGUGCGUAGGCGGCUUCUUAAGUCGGAUGUGAAAUCCCUGAGCUUAACUUAGGAAUUGCAUUCGAUACUGGGAAGCUAGAGUAUGGGAGAGGAUGGUAGAAUUCCAGGUGUAGCGGUGAAAUGCGUAGAGAUCUGGAGGAAUACCGAUGGCGAAGGCAGCCAUCUGGCCUAAUACUGACGCUGAGGUACGAAAGCAUGGGGAGCAAACAGGAUUAGAUACCCCAGUAGUCCCUGUCUCUUAUAA
rnacentral:rRNA from 1 species